rnacentral:rRNA from 1 species
GGGUGCUGAAAAAGGAGGAAAAAGAAAUAAAGUGAUCUGAAAAUUCUACCACUAAAGGGUUCUUUGAAUAAGUUCUUUACAUCUUCAAGCAAUGUUGAUGUCAGUGAAGAACAAGGAAAAGAAACUCAUCCCGAGCAUGAAAAUUCAGAUGUUGAGGUGAAUGAAGAUGGUGCGAGUACAGAGGAGCAAAUAAAUUUUGAAGUUGAUGUUGACAGUACAAUGGAGGAGGAAAAUUUGCAGCCUUCCGCUAAUGAUGAACAUGAAGAUUCCCUUUCAUUUUAUUUUGAUCCAAGAACGUGGGAAAUUCUUGACAAUAGCAAAAGGGAUAUUUUAAUUGAGAAGGGACCUAUUAGAGUACCGGAUCUGGAGUCCGAAAAGGACACCAUUGGUAGACACUUUUCAUAUGCAUUUUACUCCAGGAAGUUAAGUAAUGGUGAGUUUGUUGACAGAAAGUGGUUGGUUUACCAUAAAGGUGCAAACAAAGUAUAUUGUUUUUGUUGCAAGUUGUUCAAAUCAAAACUGAGCAAGUCUAUGCUAGCAUCUGAUGGAUUGAAUGACUGGAAGUGUUUGAGUGCGCGUCUCAAAGAUCAUGAGAACAUUGUUGAGCAUUUAAGAAACAUGAAUACAUGGAAUGAAGUUAGGUUGAGAUUAAGCAAAAAUCCGACAAUUGAUAAUGAUAUGCAAAGGGAGAUUGCAAAGGAGAAGGAGCGUUGGAGACAAGUUUUGGUAAGAAUAGUUUCUUCUAUGAAGUUUCUUGCAAAACAUACUUUGGCUUUUCGUGGAUCAAAUGAGAAGUUGUAUCAAGAUAAUAAUGGUAAUUUUUUGGGCACGAUUGAAAUGAUUGCUGAAUUUGAUCCUGUUAUGCAAGAACACAUCCGACGUAUUCAAAAUAGUGAAAUCCAUCAUCACUAUCUUGGCCACAAAAUCCAGAAUGAGUUGAUCUCAGUUCUUGCUGAUGUUGUGAGAAAGGUUAUUUUAGAGAUCAUCAAAGAUGCUAAGUAUUUUUCAGUUAUCUUGGAUUGUACCCCGGAUGUGAGCCAUGAAGAACAAAUGACUCUCAUUGUGCGUUGUGUCAAUAUGUCAAGCAACCUUCCGAGAGUGGAGGAGUUUUUCCUAGAGUUCCUAAAGGUUGAGGACACAUCGGGGUUGGGGCUUUUGAAGGUAUUAAUGGAUACAUUGAUUUCUUUUGAUUUGAAUGCUGCUGAUGUGAGAAAUUUGAAGAAAUUUGAUCAGUUGACCAGUCGCUUUGAUCAGUUGACUAGUCGCUUUGAUCAGUUGAAGAAAUUUGAAAAGGUGUUUGGUUUCUUAUUAAUUCAAAAACCCUGA